rnacentral:piRNA from 1 species
UAACGUAAUGAACAAAAGAAGCAUGGGC